AGUGCAUGCUAGAGGGAUCAGUAAACCCUGUGGAGUAGUGUAUGAACCAGCUGACAGGGAAUGCCCAGCCUGCUGUGCAGCAGCAUUUCUGCUGUCCUCUGUGUAAAACAAGAGCACAUAGGAAUGUUAGCACCAAAGAAGUGGAAUUGCUGAAACACCAGUCUUUCAGAGCAAGACUUCUCAUCUCAACAUGCCCCAACAUUAAGAUGCAGCUGGGCACCCAACUCUGGAGAUGAUCUCAAAGCCUGCGAUGUCCAGGACACCAAUGAAGUACUGCCGGGGCUGCUUGGUAUCCAGCUGCUGGUUGAUGCGAACAACCAUCCACAAGAACAUCUUCUCAUAGACAGCCUUUGCCAGAGCACCAACUGAAUUGUGCACCUUGAACAGAGAAGAAUGCAGCAGGAGCAGAAUAGCAGAGUAGCAAGAUCGUACAUUAAGCCAAGAGCUUCCCAGUCAUCAGCUGUUUCUUACUUGCUGCACAGUCUGACCCUUGGUCACAUACUCAUUCCCAACCUUGACUCGGGGGUAGCACAGAGCCUUGAGAAGGUCUGCUGAGUUCAGACCCAUCAGAGUUUUCAUAAAACAGAAACAAACAAACGAACAAACAAAC